GUUUGAUAGAUUAGUUAACGCUAGACUGUUAAUUAAUCUUGUGUCUUCCCGCUGUUUGGUAUUGCAGGCUAAUUACCAACACGGCCCGAGGGAGCCCGCUGGCCUGUUGUAAUUCUCUAGUUUUCGCUUGGUUACGAAACCACUGUGGAGGGCCAGUUACCGUUUCUGAUGUGCUAGACUAAUUUUCCAAUUUCAAAAUUGCCCCCACAAAUGUGAAUUUACAUCCUAUAUUCAAGAAAAACUCCAUCAGCACCUUCAUCCCCACCUCUCUCGAACUGGUAAAGGUUAUCAUCUCCGAGCUACAGAAAAUAUGUGCGAUGGCAUAAAUUGAAAUCUGUUUCACAUAUCUAUUUCUACCUCGCUUCUGCCAUGAAAAUGAGCGCUGGAAAAUCAGGCACGAUGCGGCAACAGGAAUCCGUCGACUGUAGAAGACUACGGCGUACAGAAACCAUGAAUUUUUUGGUGGGAUUUCGACUCUGCGAAAAAAGGUUUCGCUCCAAAUAGCUGCUUUUAUUCCUUUGCUUUUUAUUUUUUGUUUUGCGAUUUCUUAUGAUAUUUGAAAGGAUAUGGGUGUCUUUAUUAAAUUUAUUUGAUGGCAUAAAUGUCAUUCCGUUUGUUAGUCUAA